rnacentral:rRNA from 1 species
GACAGAGGCCACAAGCGUUAGGCGGAAUCACUGGGCUUAAAGCGUGUGUAGGCGGACCGUUAAGUGCUUUGUGAAAUCCCCCGGCUCAACCGGGGAACUGCUUGGCAUACUGGCGGUCUUGAGCUGCCUAGGGGCGACUGGAACAAACGGUGGAGCGGUGAAAUGCGUAGAUAUCGUUUGGAACGCCAAUGGUGAAAACAGGUCGCUGGGGGCAAGCUGACGCUGAGACACGAAAGCCAGGGGAGCAAACGGG